rnacentral:rRNA from 1 species
GACGAACGCUGGCGGCGUGCUUAACACAUGCAAGUCGAACGAUGAACCCGGAGCUUGCUCCGGCGGAUUAGUGGCGAACGGGUGAGUAACACGUGAGUAACCUGCCCUUGACUCUGGGAUAACUGCUAGAAAUGGUAGCUAAUACCGGAUACGACCCUCGGCGGCAUCGCCAGGGGGUGGAAAGAAUUUCGGUCAAGGAUGGACUCGAGGCCUAGCAGCUAGUUGGUGAGGUAACGGCUCAGCAAUGCGACGACGGGUAGGCGGCCUGGGAGGGAGACCGGCCACACUGGGACAGAGACACGGCCCAGACUCCGACGGGGUGCAGCAGUGGGGAAUAUUGCACAAUGGGCGCAAGCCUGAUGCAGCAACGCCGCGUGAGGGAUGACGGCCUUCGGGUUGUAAACCUCUUUUAGUAGGGAAGAAGCGAAAGUGACGGUACCUGCAGAAAAAGCACCGGCUAACUACGUGCCAGCCGCCGCAGUAA